GAGUUUGAUCAUGGCUCAGAACGAACGCUGGCGGCAUGCCUAACACAUGCAAGUCGAACGAGACCUUCGGGUCUAGUGGCGCACGGGUGCGUAACGCGUGGGAAUCUGCCCUUGGGUUCGGGAUAACAGUUGGAAACGACUGCUAAUACCGGAUGAUGACUUCGGUCCAAAGAUUUAUCGCCCAGGGAUGAGCCCGCGUAGGAUUAGCUUGUUGGUGAGGUAAAGGCUCACCAAGGCGACGAUCCUUAGCUGGUCUGAGAGGAUGAUCAGCCACACUGGGACUGAGACACGGCCCAGACUCCUACGGGAGGCAGCAGUGGGGAAUAUUGGACAAUGGGCGAAAGCCUGAUCCAGCAAUGCCGCGUGAGUGAUGAAGGCCUUAGGGUUGUAAAGCUCUUUUACCCGGGAUGAUAAUGACAGUACCGGGAGAAUAAGCCCCGGCUAACUCCGUGCCAGCAGCCGCGGUAC
rnacentral:rRNA from 1 species